GAUGAACGCUGGCGGCGUGCCUAAUACAUGCAAGUCGAGCGAACAGACGAGGAGCUUGCUCCUCUGACGUUAGCGGCGGACGGGUGAGUAACACGUGGAUAACCUACCUAUAAGACUGGGAUAACUUCGGGAAACCGGAGCUAAUACCGGAUAAUAUAUUGAACCGCAUGGUUCAAUAGUGAAAGACGGCUUUGCUGUCACUUAUAGAUGGAUCCGCGCCGCAUUAGCUAGUUGGUAAGGUAACGGCUUACCAAGGCAACGAUGCGUAGCCGACCUGAGAGGGUGAUCGGCCACACUGGAACUGAGACACGGUCCAGACUCCUACGGGAGGCAGCAGUAGGGAAUCUUCCGCAAUGGGCGAAAGCCUGACGGAGCAACGCCGCGUGAGUGAUGAAGGUCUUCGGAUCGUAAAACUCUGUUAUUAGGGAAGAACAAAUGUGUAAGUAACUAUGCACGUCUUGACGGUACCUAAUCAGAAAGCCACGACUAACUACGUG
rnacentral:rRNA from 1 species